ACUCCCUUAGUAUUACUAGUACAAUUGACUUCCAAUCAAUCAGCCUCGGUAAAGCCCGAGAGAGAGUA
rnacentral:tRNA from 1 species